rnacentral:rRNA from 1 species
CUCUGCAAACACGAAAGUGGACGUAUAGGGUGUGAUGCCUGCCCGGUGCUGGAAGGUUAAUUGAUGGGGUCAGCCGCAAGGCGAAGCUCUUGAUCGAAGCCCCAGUAAACGGCGGCCGUAACUAUAACGGUCCUAAGGUAGCGAAAUUCCUUGUCGGGUAAGUUCCGACCUGCACGAAUGGCGUAACGAUCUCCCCGCUGUCUCCAGCAUCGGCUCAGUGAAAUUGAACUCCCCGUGAAGAUGCGGGGUUCCUGCGGUCAGACGGAAAGACCCCGUGCACCUUUACUGCAGCU